rnacentral:lncRNA from 1 species
GUUGGAAACGACCUGUGCUGAAAUCGGAGCGAAAACAGAAGAUUUAGAAUUUUCUGUGAGAAACAGGGCAGAUAAAUUAGCAGAAAAUGCACAGUCUCAGAAAAUUAUGAAAAUUGGCGAGGAUGUCAAAAAUAUUUUAAUGAGGCUAAAUUUAAAGUUUCAUAUUUUUCUGACACCUGUAGAGUGAGAAAUAAAAUCCGAAAGCCAUCUGAUAAAGAUUGCAGUUCGGUACAGUUUUCAGGGACCAAACGGGGUCGAAACUGAAAUAUUAAAAUUUCUUUGGACUUAUUAAGUAAAACCGAACAUGCCUGUCAAAUUUGAGUUCAAACGGACGUUCAGAAGGGCUCCGGCGAAAAAUAAACUGCCCGAAGUGAAUAGUGCGUAGUUGAGGGGCAAAAUGGUAAAAAGGGUUUAAAACCCCUUUUCUUCUUCUCCUCCCAACCGUGGCUGCCCCAACCCGUGCACACCCACGACACACACCCACACACGCAUGGAAGGAGAAGAGAAAACCCUCUCUUUCUCUCUCUAAAUCUCUCCCAAAAGAGGUGAAAUUGGUGGAGAAGAAGCUUGGAGGGAUCAUCAACACCAUCAUCUUCUUCUUCUUCAUUUUGGAGCAAGCUCUUGGAGGUAAGCUCCUUACCCAUUAAUGGUAGAUCCUUAAUGGUUGGGUUAAAUAGCUUAUAAAUGGAUUUAGAGGAAUCCUAGCAUGCUAUCUAGAUGAAUGAUGCUUCAAUCAUGAAUCAAUUUGGUGAUUUCUUGCAUAGUUGUAACCUAGGGCUCCAAAAUGCUAAUUUUCAAAAUAUGAGGGUUUGAUCUAAUUUGACCCUCCGUAAACAUAAUUGCUAGGUAACGAAACGCGUUGGCGAAGACGGUUCGGCAAUCCGACGAGCCGUUACAAAGUUAUUAAAGAAAUAGACGUUUAGGCUUCGGGUCCGCCGGGAGGGCCGAGGCGACGUCGUAAAAUCAUGAAAAUGGAUUUGAGGCAUCGUGGCACAUAACCGAAGACCUAUAAUUUUCGGGGCUGCAAAGCGGAGCACGGUUGAGGCGCAGUUGCAGUAUCGGGCCGUAACGGAUACGGGUGCCGCGGGAGGCCGAUUGCAAGUGUCGACAAGCAAUCGGAACGCGAAUUAAAGUGGGUUGUGUUUACCGAAGCGACUAGGUCACCUUUAUGUCUAAGAAACUAAGAAUCCAUGUUGAUGCAUAUAAAUGUAAAUGAAGCAUGUAAAUGAUGCAUGUAACUAAAUAAUGCAUGUUGAUAGUAUGAUGUAAAUGCUAAAUAGAAUGCAUUAAGAGCAAGUUACAUAAUGCUAAAUAAUGUAAUGUAGAAAUGCUAGAAUGCAUUAUGAGCAAGUUACAUAAUGCUAAAUAAUGUAAUGUAGAAAUGCUAGAAUGCAUAAUGAGCAAGUUAUAUGAUGCAUGUUUAUAAUAUGAUGUAAAUGCUAAGUAGAUGCAUAUAAAUGAUAUAUGAGAUUAUAAACGCAUGAUUAGCAUUAUGAGAUCAUAGAUGCAUACUUAGCAUUGUGAGAUUAUAUAUGCAUAUGAACUUGGUUGAUAACUCUAGCUUGAUUAGAGAGAUAAUAUUGGAAAAUGAGAAUUGAUAACUCUAGAAUGAGUAGAAUGCUUAAUUGGACAAUUAGUAUGUGAAUUAGAUCGAGUGGCAUCUAACUUAGUGUUAAGGAACAUAGGUCGUGAGUAGACCUAGAAUCAAAUAGAUCGAGUGGCAUCUAACCUAGUGUUAAUAAACAUAGGUCGUGAAAUGAAAAGUACUUAACCUAGAGUCAAGUGAACCUAGGUUGGAAAGAAUAAUGAUCCUAGUGUAAUAACCUAGGUUAAGAAUGUGAAAGCAAUAAACCUAAUGGGUGAACUUAGGUUGAGUAAAGGCUUAAACCUAGAGAGGUCAGUUCCAUAGGGUUAAGACCAACCCCUAUGUGAUGUGAAAUGGAUUCCGGAAUCCCAAGGCUAAAAGGAUACACCCAAAGUGGUGUCGGGUGUGUGCGACGAUUUCGCCGCCCAAGGGCUAAUUAACCAUUGUCGUGGCGUGUGCGACGAUUUCGCCGCCGGAUGGUUAGCCAGUUUGUGGAUCCUACCGCCUGUUGACUGAAUCACUAUCGUGGCGUUUGUGCGACGAUUUCGCCGCCGGGUGGCUAAGUCAUGGACCUAGGCCGUUGUUGGGUGAGGUGCGAUUCGUUCGCCGCCAGACGGCUAGGACAGGAGUACGGUGAGCUGUUGCCAGCUGAGGUGCAUGUGAGAGUUCCUUCACCUCGAGCUAGACAGUGCGCGGACUAUCCGCGAUUGAUUGACUCAAGACCGAGUCGUGUGGCAUAGAGAACUAAGGUAAGAGAAACCUUAGGAAAGAAUGGCCAGUAGAAAAGUGCGACAAAGUGUAAAGAAUAAAGAAUAAGUAAAGAAUAAAGAUCGGCUAAGGAAUAAGAAUAGCUGAUAAGUAAAGAAAAGUUACAAGUAAAGAAUAGCUAAGAGCUAAAAGUAAACAUUAAAUGACAAUAGUAAAGAAUGAUUAAGAAUAUAAGUAACGUUAAAGUAACCUACUUGCAUGAUUACAGGUAUUGCAUAUUGCAUUUCGUGAGGCAUGACAUGUAUUUCAAUUGAAUAUAUAUAUCUGUUGUAUAUUGUUGAACUAACAUGUUGCAGUGCCUCGUUAGACCUGUUGGUUGAGCUGGUUCUCUUGGGUGGCUAAACCCACUGAGGACUAUGGACAAUAGUCUCACCCCCGUGUUGCUGUUUUGGGGGUACAGGUACACACGUGUGCGGCGCGGCAGCGCAAGGCGAGGACGUAGUUCUGCAGAUAGCGCCCUACCCCAGAGACCAGAGCUAGCAGUACCCCGUCUAUAUAGCUUAGGGGUAAAGGAAAUGAAAAGAAUACAAUGUAUCAAACUUGUAGUAAGUAAAUGUUGUAAUAACUUAGAUUGCAUUUGGAUGAAAAGGAAUGAAAACUGUGAUGUAAAAACCAUGAAAGUGAAUGAAUGUAAUAACUUAGGAUGUGUUUAUGUUGUAUGAUACCUUCCACUUGCAAUCUUGAUUGAUAUCUGUUCCUGGUUGGAACCUUCGUGAAUUGUAUUGAUUGCGAUGCCUUGAAUGUACAGGGGAGACUUUGUCCGUAGUACAGGGGAAACCCUGUCCAUUCGGCGAUGUCGGCGGCGCUGGGACCUCGGCCAAAUAGGCGGGUGGUCGCGGGCUGUGACA